rnacentral:lncRNA from 1 species
GUGAGAGAAAUGUCGUCCAUUGAAGUAAGGUGGUCUUACUUGAGAAGUCCAUUCUAGAGCUCUAACUAUCCCUUGAUUGGCCAUGAUCUUUUUCUCACAAGCUGUAAAGCAAAAGAAAAAAUGUGAGCCUUGCUCUAAUACCAAUUGAAAGUACAAGAGAGGGGGGGGGGGGGGGCUGGUUGGAAAGUCUGCUCCAGGUGAGAUAUCAAAUGCUCUAGCGGAUAGUAGGGACCGCACCAUGGUGGCUGAAAGUAAAAGAUGGGGGGUGAUCACAGAUAAGUCGACUUAAAACGUUAUUAGUUGACUUAAUGGUAUACUGCACCAGUCGAGAAUGAUUAAGUAUAAAGAUGCUGAAAGUAAAUGCGUAAAUGUAAAGACACCCAGAAUUUUUCUACUGGUUCGGAUUCAAUGUGAAUCCUAAUCCAGUCCCCUUGGGUUGCAAGGGAUUUCUCUUCAGAACAAUAAUUUUCUUCUCGUGUAUAGAAGUGAUAUUCGUCGCUCAGUUCUUCUUAACUUGUUGAUACAAUGCCUCACCACUUACUAACUCUCUUUUUAUUUCUGACUUAUUACACAAUGAAUCUAACUAGACUACUAUGCUUGUUUGUAGUAAAAUAAAGAGAGCUAUUUUGGUGUGUUCAAAGUAUAUGGAUGGUACUAGGCACAGUGAUAUUCAUACAGCAAGACUAUGGCGGAGACUUGUCAACCCAGGGGAUUUGAUCCCUGGAGGGUGUUGAUUCCUUCCAAGAAUAAAGCGAUGAUUGUUGCUUUGAUGACGAUCUCUUUCCUUUUUUCUGGAGAUGCGAUUGACGGAGAUGGCGGCCUUCCAGUAUUGUAGCUCAUUCAAGUCAGCCGCUAGGGAAUCUUCAGUGAUUUGCAUGAGAUCUGGAGAUGUAUGUGAUUUCCCAAGAAUCAUGGGAGACUUCCUGAUUUGACGAUGUGAUGCUGAUCUUCUCCUUGU